rnacentral:rRNA from 1 species
GAUGAACGCUAGCGGCAGGCUUAAUACAUGCAAGUCGAGGGGCAGCACGGUUAGCAAUAACUGGUGGCGACCGGCGCACGGGUGCGUAACACGUAUACAAUCUACCUUAAACAGGGGAUAGCCUUUCGAAAGAGAGAUUAAUACCCCGUAAUAAAUUGAACGGCAUCGUUUGAUUUUGAAAGCUCCGGCGGUUUGAGAUGAGUAUGCGUCUGAUUAGCUAGUUGGUGAGGUAACGGCUCACCAAGGCGACGAUCAGUAGGGGAUCUGAGAGGACUAACCCCCCACACUGGUACUGAGACACGGGACCAGACUCCUACGGGAGGCAGCAGUAAGGAAUAUUGGUCAAUGGAGGCAACUCUGAACCAGCCAUGCCGCGUGCAGGAUGACGGCCCUAUGGGUUGUAAACUGCUUUUAUACAAGAGAAAACCCUGGUACGUGUACCAGGUUGAUAGUAUUGUAAGAAUAAGCAUCGGCUAAACUUCGUGCCAGCAGCCGCGGUAAU